GAUUGUUAAUGCCUGUCCGAAUUGAAUAAUGCCAAAUCGAUGCGACAAUUGCGAAUAUUGCACGCACAUGCUAAUAAAAAUCACGAGUGUGAAAUACUGCUAUUCACAUUUUCCCCAAGCACAACUAUGUAAGUCCAUCAAGCAAACGCUUCGAAUAUCAUUGCAUAAAAGCCCAUCUACGUCUGAAUCUUUUGCCUAGCCCCAAAACCUGUACCACAACCAAAUGGCUACUAGACCUGUCCAGCAUGGGUUCAAAGUCUCUAAUCCUGAGCCAAGUGCAACCACUUGGAAUGUUAGUCCAGUGACUUGUUGCCAAGGCGUGGAACGAGCAUCACACACGGAUAAGUUGAUAUCAAAUUGAAAUUAUUUGGAAUGCUGGACGCGGUUCAAUGAAUCAAAAUAACGAAACCUGUUAUUAUUUGGGAUGCAAAUUUUGGGGUAACUGAAAAUAAAACGCCAUCCACUCGAAAUGUUCCUCCAUUCGUAUAUGUACGUACGUACAAAUAGGGGGCCUGGCUCACAAGAUCUCUUCGCAAUCGAUUCGUUAUGGAAAAUUUGCAAUAGACCGUAGAGCGACCACACAACCCACUCGCGAUCACAAAACACCCAAAGUCAUCUCCGCUUAUCUCCGCUCGUACUUCUUCGUGACACCAAUUUUGCAUGGAAUUUUACCACGGACUCAGAAAAAUAUCGAAUUAAUAUGGAAAGCAUCCGCUCCGAAUGCUGCUGCAACAUCUUGACUUUCUUGUCGGGAGGAAGGAGGCGCGUAUGAAAUGCGAGCUGACCGACCGAAACGGACUGCUGAGAACGUCGCGCGGCG